CGGAGAGGAGCGCGGCGGGGAGCGGAGGCCCGGGAGGAAGAAGCUCGGGCCGGUGGAGAGGGAAGGCUCCUACACUGCUUUUCUAAUAGCUGUACAGUAGGGAAGAGGCAUCUCGAGCGGUGUGUGUUCACAGCAGCGUUCUCUCCGGGCCCGCUGGCAAUGCAUUCCUGAGACUCCUAAAAAUAAGAUGGAAAAUAAACUUUAUACCCCGCCGGGAUCAAGUCUCGCGGGCCCUGGUCAGUCGUAAAAGAGUAAAAAUGAAGUAGGGGCGGUGUGUCAAUGAGUCGGUGCCCAGGAGCCUGAGGGGGCUGGCUGUGGCACUGCCCAUGGCGAAGCGCCUGCCCGAGGGACGGCGGGAGAUGGCGGGAGCCGAGGGAGUUGGUGGCUGAGCCACCCAUGGCACCCUCCGGCUGUGACACGGGGCCGUCCCUGCGGGGCCCGGGUGAGGAGAGCUCGCAGGAGGGCCGGAAAGUCACGCUGAAAUACCCUCUGAGGACACAGUGAGUUCACGCGCCUCGGGCAGGCUGGGGGUGCGGAAAUCGAGACCAUGUUGCGGUAUUAAAUCACAUUGAGUAUAGUCUGACAGGGAUUUGGGACAUCAGAACACCAGCAACCAAGAAAUUAUCCCCGAUGUGCUCUCAAAGAGGACUGAUUUUAUAGGACUCUGCAUUCAGGGCCAUAAAAGUGCUAAUGAGCUCUAGCUGAUUAAAAUGCUGACGCCGCACAUGCCUGGUUACUUGGUUACCUGUGAAUUAGCGACCUCUGCGAAGAACCCGUAGGCCCUGGAGGGCUGAUGAGAAGGCCUGCCCUUGACCUGCUGUGAGGUCAGAAGCUGAGGAGUGUUUUGAGUGCUUCAUUUGAAACGGGCCACCGCUCUCCAAGAACUGCAGACUCAAGCUGUGGAGAUGAGAUCUACUGCCAACGGGAAGGGACAGAAGGGUCCUUGGGACGUACAGGGAGAAAGGAUGAUGGAGUGGUGGAUCACAUCCAAACUUCCUCUUGAGUAGGGAAGACCCAUGGAGCACUGCAGUGUCCUCCUGGAUGUGGGAGGCUAGUGACCCUUAGGUGGGGACAGGGUGAUGACAAUUCCCCAGAGCAGUUGGACUGGUCCUGCAGCUCCACGAACCGCCCCGGGCAGCUCUUCUGCCAGCAGGGAAACCAGGUCGAUUUGGAAGCCGGAUGGAACGUCACCGAACCUGCGUCAAUCCAGGAUUCCUCAUUCAGGAUGUGGAAAAAACGCAGAUUCAUCCUGAAACAAUUCGCCUCGCCCAAAGCCACCAGCUUUGGACGUUGGUGCCCAGGUGCUCAGGUGGGCCGGAGGUGCCCAGGAAUACAAACUAUGUGGGCAGGGGAGCGGGCGGGUGUCUUGGUUUGAGUGACACAGGGAUAAUUUCUCUUCUAAUGCCUGAGAAAACUGCACUUCAGUGUUUUCCAGAUCCUCAGGUGUAGGGAUAAGGAGGAUCAAGACCUGGACACUUGACCCAAGCUGCCAACAGGGUUAUUUCAUACCAUGAAUGAAACGUUCAAUAUAUCAAUUAGAAAGUUUCCUGAGGAGUUCUCUCUCUCUCUUUCCCCCUUAGUGGCUGCCAUCCUGAGAACUCCUUGUCCCGGUGCCGGAGCCCUGAGCCCUUCCCUUCCUCCCGAAGCCCCAGCGCUCGCAGGGUCCCACACUGGCUGUGCCUGCAGGGAGUGCACGGCUUCUGCUGGGGAAUGGGCUGGGGACAGUCCUGGGGUGUUUUAUAUUGGUAUCGGGAUCAAUAUUGGCUCUUUAGUGUUAUUGAUGUUAAUGAUCUAGUCUGAUUCUAUUAAAUCUGUUUAUAUUUCAA